GGGCUUACAGGAGCCGCCGUUAGAACGGAGCGACACAGGUCCCUUCUGUGUUUCCCCAGACUUGCUGACCAGAGAAAUCACCUGGAGUGAUUAUUUUGAAAGAUUCCCAGGCGGCUCCCCUGCUCCGCUGCAGGUGCUUUUGGUCGGUCUGGGGUGGAGCUCAGGAACCUGUUUUAUUUAUUUUUAUUUUUUUUAAGAUUUUAUUUAUUCAUGAGAGGCCCAGGGAGGCAGAGACACAAGCAGAGGGAGAAGCAGGCUCCAUGCAGGGAGCCUGACGUGGGACUCGAUCCCGGGACCCCCGAUCACGCCCCGAGCCAAAGGCAGACACUCAGCCGCAGAACCACCGAGGUGCCCCAGGAACCUGUAUUUUUAAGUAGUUCUCCAGGUGCAACCCUGUGGACUCUUAACUACAGUCAACCCUCAUUAUCAGCUAGUGACCGCCUCCUAAAAGAGAAAGUACAUCUGUUUAGACUUUGA
rnacentral:lncRNA from 1 species